AGUUACUGCCACCCUCUCCCAGGUCUAGAGAGGGGUACCCACGGUGGAGGGAGGUGGGAGGCCGAGACGGCCCCGGGGGUCGGCGGAGACCCAGCGGGAGCAGGGGGAAAUCGGAAGAGCUGGGGGCAUGGAGCGGGCGAGUUUGGAGCGGAAUGAGCCGGGAGCCCUACGUUGUGGAAGGAAGACAACAGUAUAGGACCAUCAGCAGGACCGGACAGAGAGGGGCACCCCUGGCUGUCCUGGAACUUGUAGACCAGGCUGGCCUUGAACUCAGAAAUCCGCCUGCCUCUGACUCCCGAGUGCUGAGAUUAAAGGUGUGCACCACCACACCCGACAAGGAAGCCUGUUUUAAGAAGUGAUUCCAUGGAGGAGUUCUGCGGCGGCUCAGGGCUUGACUAAACAGUGGACCUCAGGGUCCCAUUUCUCUCAGUAGACAAGAGAGGCUAAACCAGGCUGCAGGUGACAGGAAGAAUUGAAUAAACUGAAAGCAAAGGGCAGCCUUCUAAUUACGCUUCGUGGCUAUGUGGACAACCUGGAGAAGUCUGGAAACCUUUCCUCCUCCAUUUUACUACUUGAGGGAGCAGUGGGUGGGAUACUAGGCAAGUAGCUGCAAUGGCUGGUGCUUUAUGGUUCCCUGGCAUCCCCUGAAUCUGUUAACAUCCCAACCUUCUUGACAGCCAGCCCCACCCCAUCACAUUCUUACUCCUUCCCUUUCCAAGAAAGAAGCCAGAAGCCCGAAGCCAGCAGUAGAGCUCUGACUGGCUUGUAUGCCUAGAAAGGAAGGGCUCUUCUUUCGCCUCACGGGCACAAAUGGGACCCACGAGCGCCGAUUUCAGACUAUUCUGAUCCCUUCAAAAAGAAAGUUAGGAGUCCAGGCUACUGUGAGUGAAUUUGAUUCUAAUUGUUUCAGAGAAUAUGGAAUAAAAUAUCUCAUUUGCAGUUGUUUA
rnacentral:lncRNA from 1 species